UCAUCUUCACAACCAAAACUAAAACCUUCACUCAGGUUUUCCACGAGGUAAUUAAAGCAUGGAUCUUGGAAGAAAGAGUUGGAGGAAACUAAAGCAUUAGUCUGCUAAUGCGUUGUCAAAGUCUUAUGUAUGGUUUAAUUUCCUCCAAUAUCUUACUUUCAACGGUUCAUGGUGAGCAUUAGCCAACGAAAAGAUUGAGAAAAAGGGUGGCGACUGGCAUGGAUCUUGAAUGUAAGAAUUGGAGGGAAGUAAACCCUAUAAGUUGCCUCAUCUUUUGAGUGCAAACCAUGCGAUUUAGUUUCCUCCAAUAUCUUACCUUCAUUGGCUCUUGUAUAGAGGAGUUUGAAGUAGAAAAUAGAACCUAUCCUUCUUUAGCUAGUUUCCCAUAUGGUCGAAGCAUGGAUCUUGGAUGUGAGAAUUGGAGAAAACUAAAGCAUUUGUGGAGACGAUAUGGUUUAAUUGCUCCCCAAAUGGUUUAAUUUUCUCCAAUAUCUCAUUUCCAAAUGGUUCAUGAGUAUCAAAUGAUUUUAGGAAAAUGGCAGUCAUCAUGGAUCUUGAAAGUGAGAAUUGAAGGAAGCUAAACCAUGGAGGUUGACUCUUCUUGUAGAGUACAGACCAUAUGAUUUGGUUUCCUCCAAUAACUUACUUUCAAUGGCAUUAAGAAAGCAACAGAGGAAGAUCUAGUCUUUGUUGACCAUAUGCAUCAAAUCCCACAUUUCUUUCCUUUUCUUCUUGAGUUGAAUGGAACCUAGAAACCUUUAAGAGUUCCAUCAAAGCACAAUAUACAAAGGAAAUAUUGGGAAAAUGUCACCUUUCAACAAUUUUGCUCCAAUCCAAUAUUUUGGAAGAGUCAUACUCUGAGAAAUCUUUCAUGAACUGGCUAGUAUUAUUUUCACAAGUGAUUAUUCUUAGCCUAAAAUUUGCUGUCGAUAUCUUAAUCACAGCCCUGAAUUUUGAUUCCAAUUGCAUAGUAUACAAAGGUUUGUUGUAUGACAUUGAAGAUCCACGGAAGCAUCAGGUUGGGCUUCUAGUUAAGGACUCCGGGACUGGGUAAAUUAUAGUUCCUGAGUGGGUUGGUGCACAGCCUUUUGAUUCAGAUGUUCAAGCUAUCUACGCGCCGGAAGGUGCCUUGCCAAUGAUCCUGCCUUUGAAGCCUGAGAAGGUUGAAUUAGCUGUAAAGGUUGCAUCCUGAGCUUCUGUUACUCUUCUUGAAGACAAAGAGACUAUACUUUUUUUUAUUGUGAUAUUUUUUAUUUUUAAAAUUUAUUUUUGAUAUAAACAAAUUAAAACAAUAAAAAAGUAAUAAUUUUAAAAAAUCAAUUUUUUUUUUGACAAACGGACAGCAGCCACGUUGCCAAAUAGAAUCUAAGAAGGUACACACAACUUUGAUUAAAAGAAAUCUAUGUUUAUACUUAACACCGAAGCAUGCGCACCAUUAGAUUGUAAAAUAAGCAAUUUAUUGGAAACAGAGCAGCACUUGAAAAUCUGUAGACUCCACUAGCAAAGCUGGCGAACAAGCAAAACUAAAAUCUCAGUAAGUUUCUUCCAAUAAUAUAUCGGAAAAACCUUAUUUUCUACACUGAGAUUGUGUUCGAACCGUUUAACUCAAUCAAUUCUUAGGUUUGAUGAAGCUCAUAAUAACCUUUCAGUUCAUCAGCAACAAUUCUGUAGUUUUGUUGAGCCAAAAUCACAAUUAUAGGCAGGUGGCCAUAGCCAUGCAAAACGCAUUCUCAUUGCUUGGAUAAACGGAACUGGUCGCGUGCUUGAAGACCUCAUGUCCUUGACACUAGCUUGGUGUGUUUGACAUCCAUCGUCACUGUGCCACCUUUACUCCUAUUCUUGAAAGCAUUUGGCUUUGUGAAGGGCGAGGAAUUCGAGUCAGAAUGAAUCACUUCAGAGACAAUCCUUCGUGGUUUUCUGGCCAUUACAUGGUUGGAGGUUUUCUUUGCCAUUAUAAGGGUAAAGCUAAAAAGACAGUGAAGACUUCUAGGCAAAUAUUAAAUUAUUUUCUUGAUGGGUUAGCAUGUUUCAGCUCAGCAACUAUUUAUUUUUGUAGCAUUUGAUUGCUAUCUCCACAUAAAAAACAGAGACGAUGAAGAUACAUCUCUAUAUUCCUUCCGUGUUUGUUUUGAAAAGAUAAAAAUUCACUACAAAGUACCUUUUAUCUCAGAUAAAUUUUAUGAAGAUCCGUCUUCGACGUUUCUCUUCUAUCCUUACACAUUAAUCAAACUCAAACUUAUGGCUGUGGGAGUAAAGGGUAUAGUCAUAGACGUUGUGAAGGUUAAGAAGAACAAAUGCAAGGAGGUAAUGAGGAGAGAAUGGCCUUUCUCUCUGUCAUUAUCAACAAACUGGACACUAACUUAUAUCAAGAGUUGGAGACAUACAACACAAAGAGCAUGCAUUAACCAAAUACUCCAUUAGGGCCAAGUAUGUUUUAGUUGAUGAGUUGGUAGGUCAUCCCCCCCUUUCUGCUUUCAGUGCUUAAUCCUUCUUCAUGUCCCUAAAAGAGGAUCAAGGUGGGCCAACGGUACAAUUGGCAGCCAAUAGGUAAGGUCUUACAUGCCAAAAGUUUGUGAACUUUUGUAUGAUAAAGAGACUAGUAGGCAUAAGCUAGAGAUUCAGUGCAAUUCAUCAAAGUAACAAAUCUCAAUCAUUUUACUCAACCUAAUAAUUUAAUUUGGUCAAGAUCUUAUAGACCUUAAAUAAUGAAAACAAAUAUCAAUAUAAUGAAAAAAAAUGUAUAAAUCAUAUCAAAAUCUCAAAAUAAUUUCUAUUGAAUAAUGCUUGAAGAGUUUGUAUACACUCAGUUCAGAGCAACUAUUCAACUAAAUUGCCUUGCACCCAUGGACCAUGGGGCAAUAAUAAUAAAAUUGAAAAACUCAAGUCUAUAUAUGAUACCCAAGUUGGAUUCAGAAAAACUUGUAAAUUCUUUCUGAAAUAAUCCCAUCCCAGAAGAAUCUUUCUUGCAAUCUAGGGUAUGGAGACCACCUGCUUUAACCCUAUUAAAAACUCCAGUCUACUGUCUCUCCAUGCCGUCAAUGGCAAUUUAUUUGUAGGAUAUCCUUCAUAUUCUUUAGUUUCCUUUUAUUUACUGAAUACUGAUGUUUUGUAAAAUACUCUAUGCUGCAGCUACUCCAGCAAAAAAUAACAGAGGAGAGGAGCAGGGCGUUACAGAGCACUCUUGUUUCUUCAGAGCUUCAGACCCGGACUUCUCCUUGAAAUCU
rnacentral:lncRNA from 1 species